rnacentral:rRNA from 1 species
AUUGAACGCUGGCGGCAGGCCUAACACAUGCAAGUCGAACGAGUGGCGGACGGGUGAGUAAUGUCCGGGAAACUGCCUGAUGGAGGGGGAUAACUACUGGACACGGUAGCUAAUACCGCAUCACAUCAGAUGUGCCCAGAUGGGAUUAGAUAGUUGGUGGGGUAACGGCGUACAAAGGCGAGGACCCCUAGCUGGACUGAGAGGAGGACCAGCCACACUGGAACUGAGAAACGGUCCAGACUCCUACGGGAGGCAGCAGGGGGGAAUAUUGCACAAUGGGCGCAACCCUGAUGCAGCCAUGCCGCGUGUAUGAAGAAGGCCUUCGGGUUGUAAAGUACUUUCAGCGGGGAGGCGUUACCCGCAGAAGAAGCACCGGCUAACUCCGUGCCAGCAGCCGCGGUAAUUC